rnacentral:rRNA from 1 species
UUGAACGCUGGCGGCAUGCUUUACACAUGCAAGUCGAACGGUAACAGGCCUUCGGGUGCUGACGAGUGGCGAACGGGUGAGUAAUGCAUCGGAACGUGCCCAAUCGUGGGGGAUAACGUAGCGAAAGUUACGCUAAUACCGCAUACGCCCUGAGGGGGAAAGCGGGGGACCUUCGGGCCUCGCGCGAUUGGAGCGGCUGAUGUCGGAUUAGCUAGUUGGUGGGGUAAAGGCCUACCAAGGCGACGAUCCGUAGCUGGUCUGAGAGGAUGAUCAGCCACACUGGGACUGAGACACGGCCCAGACUCCUACGGGAGGCAGCAGUGGGGAAUUUUGGACAAUGGGCGCAAGCCUGAUCCAGCCAUGCCGCGUGAGUGAAGAAGGCCUUCGGGUUGUAAAGCUCUUUCAGACGGAAAGAAAUCGGGCGCGUGAAUAGCGUGCCUGGAUGACGGUACUGUCAGAAGAAGCACCGGCUAACUACGU